AUGUUAGAGUUAGAGCUCUCUAGUAGUAAGUUACUACUAAAUAGUUGUAAAUAUCCAAGCAGCAAUAAAAGAUGCCAAGGAAGCAAAUCUGCUGAUUAUGACUUCAAUGGUAAGUUAAAAUGUUUUCCAAGUUUUAAACAAUUUGAAAACAGCUUUCACAAUUUAGUUUAUUUGUAAAUUGUGGUCAGAUAUUUUCUUCAAAAUGCCCUUUUUUUUUCACUAAUGUGUAUCCAUAACUUUCUACAUUUUCACAUAAUUCACACUUGGAGAGUAAUUAAAAC
rnacentral:lncRNA from 1 species